rnacentral:rRNA from 1 species
UACAGAGGUCCCAAGCGUUGUUCGGAUUCACUGGGCGUAAAGGGUGCGUAGGUGGUGAGGUAAGUUUGAUGUGAAAGCUCCGAGCUCAACUCAGAAAUGGCAUUGAAUACUAUCUUGCUAGAGGUUUGGAGGGGGGACUGGAAUUCUCGGUGUAGCAGUGAAAUGCGUAGAUAUCGAGAGGAACACCAGUGGCGAAGGCGAGUCCCUGGACAACACCUGACACUGAGGCACGAAAGCUAGGGGAGCAAACAGG